rnacentral:rRNA from 1 species
GUUGACCUCGGAUCAGGUAGGGAUACCCGCUGAACUUAAGCAUAUCAAUAAGCGGAGGAAAAGAAACCAACAGGGAUUGCCCUAGUAACGGCGAGUGAAGCGGCAACAGCUCAAAUUUGAAAUCUGGCGCAAGCCCGAGUUGUAAUUUGCAGAGGAUGCUUCUGGGCAGCGGCCGGUCUAAGUUCCUUGGAACAGGACGUCAUAGAGGGUGAGAAUCCCGUAUGCGACCGGUUGGCACCCGUCACGUAGCUCCUUCGACGAGUCGAGUUGUUUGGGAAUGCAGCUCUAAAUGGGUGGUAAAUGUCAUCUAAAGCUAAAUACCGGCCAGAGACCGAUAGCGCACAAGUAGAGUGAUCGAAAGAUGAAAAGUACUUUGGAAAGAGAGUUAAAAAGCACGUGAAAUUGUUGAAAGGGAAGCGCAUGCAACCAGACUUGUCCGCGGUGUUCCGCCGGUCUUCUGACCGGUCUACUCGCCGCGGGCAGGCCAGCAUCGUCUGGGCGCGCCGGAAAAAGGCGCAGGGAAUGUAGCCCCUCGGGGUGUUAUAGCUCUGCGCACAAUACGGCGCCGCCCGGGCGAGGUCCGCGCUUCGGCUAGGAUGCUGGCGUAAUGGUUGUCUGCGGCCCGUCUUGAAACACGGACCAAGGAGUCUAACAUCUAUGCGAGUGUUCGGGUGUCAAACCCCUACGCGGAAUGAAAGUGAACGGAGGUGGGAGCCCUCGGGCGCACCAUCGACCGAUCCUGAUGUCUUCGGAUGGAUUUGAGUAAGAGCAUAGCUGUUGGGACCCGAAAGAUGGUGAACUAUGCCUGAAUAGGGUGAAGCCAGAGGAAACUCUGGUGGAGGCUCGCAGCGGUUCUGACGUGCAAAUCGAUCGUCAAAUUUGGGUAUAGGGGCGAAAGACUAAUCGAACCAUCUAGUAGCUGGUUCCUGCCGAAGUUUC